CUGUCAGACACGCUCAGUAUUUAUGUGUGUGUUUUUAUUUACAUAAAUUCCUUCUAAUCAAAAUAUUUAGUUAUUUUUGCAUGGUUCACAUAAAGUUAAUUGGCAAAAUUGAUAAGAGUCAAUUAACCUGUGCACACUAUUCAUACAAAUUAGCUUGAGGAGUUUGCCUGUUAACAUGUGAGUGAGCCAAAUGAACCGAAAAGAUGGCACAUUUUUGAUUGGAUUUAUUUACGGAAAUUGAACGACGAAUCGAAAUUUUUGUUUUCAUUUUCGGGAAAAAUUUGAAUCGAAAUAAAUUACAUUAAUCGCGUCGGUAAAUGUGCGAAAUUCGUUGUGUUCGGACACAGAACAAUGGCGUUACGCGACUGGAUAAUUGUUAGGAUAUUAGCAGGAAUUGCUACGAAAAUAUGGGCAGCCAGUUUUGCUGCAUUGCUGGCGUGUUUCAUUUUAUAUUGCUUCUAUGGCGGUCUAAUCGCAUUCUCGCUAUUGAUUGCUGCUGUUUCUGGAAUUCUUUAUCAAACCCAAGACAAUUUAUUGUAUCAUCCGGAGCAGCCUCCACAUUCAAGGGUUUUCAUUCCUGUGCCGUCAAUGUUCGGUCUUCCAUACGAAGCCAUAAACAUUCGAUCCACGGAUGGCGUGACCUUACACGCAUUCCUGAUACGACACAAUGGUGAUAAAGGCCGAUUCGUGCCGACCAUUGUCUAUUUCCACGGAAAUGCUGGUAACAUGGGACAUCGACUGCAAAACGCAGCUGGAAUGUUUCACACGUUGCAGUGUAAUUUACUGAUGGUCGACUAUCGCGGCUACGGUUUGUCCACUGGGACACCACUCGAACGUGGACUGUACAACGAUGCUCGUGCUUCCAUCGAUUACCUAUUUACGCGUCACGAUUUGGAUCUGAGCCAAAUCGUUUUGUUUGGCCGCUCAUUGGGUGGAGCUGUGGCUAUCGAUGUGGCGGCGGAUCCGGAAUAUUAUCAAAAAUUGAUGUGCGUUGUGGUGGAGAAUACAUUCACCAGCAUUCCGGAAAUGGCCGUUUCGUUAAUACAUCAGUCAAUUAGAUACCUGCCGCAGUUCAUGUUCAAAAACUUGUACCUUUCAAUUCAUAAAAUUCAAUACUUUGCUGCGCCUUGCCUGUUCGUCAGUGGAAUGGCUGACACUUUAGUUCCACCAAAAAUGAUGGCACAGUUGCAUGCACGUUGCGGCAGUACACGAAAGCAAUUACUUCAAGUGAACGGUGGCAAUCAUAAUGACACGUGGGCGACAGCUGGGUACUACCAUGGACUCGCUCAAUUUCUCGUGGAAUGUAAAGAAUCUAGAGGCCCGCUACAAACGCCACCCGUACUUAGAAGCCAUUGGCCGCAAGUCGAAGAAGUUUAAAAGUUUCGAAAGAAAGAAACGCUCGGCGGAUGGGAAACGCAACAGCUUUUUCUUUCCUUGUGAUAUCUCGGCAACACGACAUUAUAGAAAAUCCGAAUUGAUGUCAAAAAUAAGAUGUUGGAACCAAAUGAAGAAUGGAAAAUUACAAUCUUCGUUGGCAGGCUGGGCGUGCAGGACACGUCAAAUUUUCGAGUUUUCAACUUGUUAGGCAUGCAAAACCCGUCAACGAUUUUUUUUUCGUUUGGUUCCAAUACCUUUAUUUUGACAUUAAUUCGGAUUUUCUAUGAUGUGCUGCUGCCGAGAUAAACACUAGGGCCUGUGCUAGUACUAGCACUUCUGGCGCUAGAUAACGGAAGUCGCAGAACAAAUAUUUUUCGUAUCAGAUUUGGUAUAGGUUUGAAGUUGUCGCCUUAUAAGGGACUCAAAGUGUCGUCAGAUACUGGUCUAAUGGAAUAACUGCGUUAGAAACGAUUCUCCUUUUUAACAAAUUCCUAAUGUCCGGUCCACAAUCAUCUUGUGUUUCUUGGACUUUUAAGUACUUGAUUCGGCUCGGCAUUUAUACAUAGAAAACGAGCACUUUGUGCAAAUCUAAAUCUAGUACUUCGAAAUCGAUAUAUUUCAUGUGGAUAAUGUUUGUAGGUCGAGGCAGAAAGAUUAAUCGAAUCAGAUAAAUGUUUCUGAGCCAAAUUCUGUGGGCUGUAGGUAGCUCUACUUCAGGUCGAGGUCGGACCAACAAAACUGACGAAGUAGAGCGACUGAUAUUUUAGGAUUGAAAGAAUCAAAACGAAAGCUUUUUCCAAAGACAAACAUAGGCAGGGGGCGGAUAAUCAAGAAAAUUUGCUGACCUAGCGGUUCCAAUUUCAAAAUGCUCUGAACCGCGGGAUUUUUUGAUAAGGUACAAAAUCAAAAAAUGUAACCUCUUACCCGAUCAUUUGCGACUGGAUCAGCUCCUGAUCAUAGAUUUUCGUUGAAACCACUUCCAACUGAGCUACUACCGAUUAUUUUGAAUACCAAAAUUACCAAUACUGUAACUGCCAUAUUCUAAUCACCAAUCCUGAAUACCGAUGUGGAUCAAUAGCAUUGUAUUUCUUACCCAACUACAGGUUAUUUCAUCUCUCCUAACAUUUUGACAAAGCUACCAACAGGUGACCUUGACCUUGAAAUACCUGACUUUUGACUUGUACAAGACUAUCCUGACCUUUCAAGCUGACUUAUGAUCACGGUUCAUUUCGACCUGACUUAGUUAUGAAUUUCAAGAAUUCCAAAAAUUUGCUCCAAUUGAGUUUGGGCAACAAAGUUAGUGCCACCACAUUCCUAAAAAAAAGACCAUUCCAAUUACAUCUGAACUUGUGUCACCGAGAACAUAAUGAAGAAGCCACAUUAAGCAUCAUUGAGUAAAGACCGAAAGUUUUUUUUUCCGACGACUUCUUCUCUUCGUUAAACAUUUUCCUACUGCACACAAUCCAAAGAUUAGCUCAACUUUUAGUUGCAUUUGUAAAUAAAAUAUUGAAUCGAUACAAAGAGGACAAAGUUUCUGGUUUCAGCUGUGUGAUGGUGGUGUGUAUGUUUUUUUUGGUAUAAACUUAUAGUGGUGUUCAUCUGUGGUAUGUACUGAUACUGAUAAUUUAUUUAAUUUUGCCAGCAAUUUGCCAAUUGUUGGCACAUGUAACAACUAAAUUCUAAACUUUUUCAUUGUUCUUGUUGUUUGAAAAUAAAAUGAAAAAUAAUGAGGAGAAUCGAAAGGAACAAUAGAAAAAAAUUAAUUUUGUGCCUUUUUGAACAGAACAUACAAACUAAUAAAAAAAUAAAUAAUAAUUCGAGUAUGUAGCCAAUAAAUGUGUCGUGUCGGUUAGGAAUAUUAAUAGUAGGAAGAACAAGUAACGAAUAAAUGUGAAAGAAUUUUUUUUGAAUUUUUAGUUUUCUUAAUUUAAUGUUAACAGUCGUUUGGGUUAAACCAAAGUUAUUGAA